ACGCUCGACACCUACGUGAGGCAGCAGUGGGGAAUAUUGCACAAUGGGGGAAACCCUGAUGCAGCGACGCCGCGUGGAGGAAGAAGGUCUUCGGAUUGUAAACUCCUGUUGUUGGGGAAAAAGAGGAUGGUACCCAACAAGGAAGUGACGGCUAACUACGUGCCCGCAGCCGCGGUAAUCUGAGCGGGCUGGCAAGGC
rnacentral:rRNA from 1 species